UUCCAGACUCCUACGGGAGGCAGCAGUGAGGAAUAUUGGUCAAUGGGCGGGAGCCUGAACCAGCCAAGCCGCGUGAGGGAAGAAGGUACAGCGUAUCGUAAACCUCUUUUGUCAGGGAACAAAGGCGGGGACUAGUCCCCGGAUGAGGGUGCCUGAAGAAAAAGCAUCGGCUAACUCCGUGCCAGCAGCCGCGGUAAUACGGAGGAUGCGAGCGUUAUCCGGAUUUAUUGGGUUUAAAGGGUGCGUAGGCGGACGCUUAAGUCAGCGGUAAAAUUGCGGGGCUCAACCUCGUCGAGCCGUUGAAACUGGGUGCCUUGAGUGGGCGAGAAGUACGCGGAAUGCGUGGUGUAGCGGUGAAAUGCAUAGAUAUCACGCAGAACUCCGAUUGCGAAGGCAGCGUACCGGCGCCCAACUGACGCUGAAGCACGGAGGCGUGGGUAUCGAACAGGAUUAGAUACCCUUGUAAAU
rnacentral:rRNA from 1 species